rnacentral:lncRNA from 1 species
CACAUAUAGCAUUACACCAGUAAAAAACUCAACCAAAUCCCCUCCAAUCGAGAAUCUCCUCCAUUUUAGCCUCCAGCAGAUAGCAGACAGCAGAUUUAAAUUAAUUUAAAUGCAGCGGCGGAUGGGACUAUGGGAGAAAGGGGUUGGGAGAGCGGGGGGCAGCGGCGCCGGCGAGAAGACACGCCGGUGCCGGUGGGAAGAUGCGCCGGACGUCGGAAGGAAGUGAGGCGCCGCAGAGCCUGAAGUGCAGAAGUGGCGGGUGUGCAGU